rnacentral:rRNA from 1 species
AUACGGAGGAUCCGAGCGUUAUCCGGAUUUAUUGGGUUUAAAGGGUGCGCAGGCGGGAUAUUAAGUCAGCUGUGAAAGUUUGGGGCUCAACCUUAAAAUUGCAGUUGAUACUGGUUUCCUUGAGUACGGUACAGGUGGGCGGAAUUCGUGGUGUAGCGGUGAAAUGCUUAGAUAUCACGAAGAACUCCGAUCGCGAAGGCAGCUCACCGGGCCGGAACUGACACUGAUGCUCGAAAGUGCGGGUAUCAAACAGGAUUAGAUACCCUGGUAGUCCGCACAGUAAACGAUGAAUACUCGCUGUUUGCGAUAUACAGUAAGCGGCCAAGCGAAAGCAUUAAGUAUUCCACCUGGGGAGUACGCCGGCAACGGUGAAACUUAAAGGAAUUGACGGGG